AUCGACUGCUUGUGUUUGUAGCGAACAUUUGCAUGAUUGCCAUUACGAAGGGGACGCGGAAUCUCUUCAACGUACUGGAUAGCGAGCCCAGUGUCGUUUGAAUCAAGGUGUAGCACCAUCACAGUACGUGUCCACACCGGGGAAAGACCAUCCACCUAAACCGUGCAAAAGUGAUUGCGUAACUGGGUUCAUUCUCAUCUGACUUGGUGUGCGUAUUGUCAUCAAGCAAGAUAACUACCUAUGGCCGCUGACGGCACACAAGAGCGAGAGAGUAAAACAAAGACAAAAUAGAAGUUACCGAAUCUAACCACUAAACUCAGGUAACUUGCUCCGCGGACCCUGAAACACCCGAGCAGAAACACCAUGAUCACUGCAACCCACUAUUCAGAGCAGACCAAUGUUGUGCAGCCUCCAUCCAGGUUUCCUUUUUGCAGCAUCGUCUUGCCUACCAUUCGGGCCCUGUGUGUUGUUCAUAAGUUAUUUUCUUAUUAUUAUUUGAUUUCAGUCUUCUUCAUCAUGAGCUCAAAUAUGAUAAUGACGGGGACAUUUUAUUGUUUACACCUGAAUAAGCUAGGAUGCUUUUAAGAGGGGCACACUUUUGUUCCUUGCCUUAUAAUCACUACUCAGUUGUAUCGCUACAUACAUUUACAUUCACUGGAACCGGAGUUUCAUACUGUGUUAUUCAUUUUCUCCUCUUAAACCAGGGUGGCAGCUGGAGUCUUUCACGAGGGUAACAUGCCAGAACAACACCAGCAAGUGCUCUGCAGUUCACCUCUAAAAUAAAUAAACCCAAGUCUGAUGCACUAUGCCCUCACGAGAUUUUGUUCCUGCUACAACUCUGCACUUUGUUUUACAUUACCAAAAAUAACCUUACCAACCAUUACCAUACCAUUGGUGCUCUGCUGUGUUCAACCAGUUCAACAUGCUCUGGGCGUCCCGUAAAGCCUGUGCAGCGACUUCAGCCCUUAUUUGGUCGUAACACUGGUGCCAAUACAGCUGCGUGACAGUGUAAAAUAGAAUACAUCCCGUGUCUGCAUAUGUAUACAAAUUAUGCAUGUGUCGCCUAUAAUACGUAUAUGUAAAUGUUAUAGUUAUUAGGUCUUAUGUAUUUUAGUGAUGGUACUAUUUGAACUAAAUGCCGACAUUUCAGCUGUUUGAGCCUGGUGCCCUCAUCCUUGACACAUAUACAAGUGGGUCCACAUCCUCGGUGAAGCCUGCACAGCUGAGGACUCUGUCCAGGUGGCAAAUUGAACAGUUAUUUUACAAAGAAGGCAGAUUUCCGCCAGAUGAGUAAAAAGCAGUUUAUCUGGAAUAGUACCAAUUGCUUCUCGUUUUUCUUUUUUAUUGAAAAUAUAGGGCAUGUUAUCUGACUACUGGGGCUUUUCGCUUCUUUCCAGGUACCUCAACUGGUGUCUUCAAGCUUAUGUAACACAAUAAUAUAAGGUGGCAAUGAAGCAGGCGAGCUGGUGUCGUUAGUUUGUGUCCUCAGUCUCGGGGUUAUGGACGUAUUCAUGGUAUAGGAAACCAGGUUGAACAAUAAAUUUGUUAAACAAUAAACAGUUCUCGA